rnacentral:rRNA from 1 species
CCUACGGGAGGCAGCAGUAGGGAAUAUUGCUCAAUGGGGGAAACCCUGAAGCAGCAACGCCGCGUGGAGGAUGAAGGUUUUCGGAUUGUAAACUCCUUUUGUUAGAGAAGAUAAUGACGGUAUCUAACGAAUAAGCACCGGCUAACUCCGUGCCAGCAGCCGCGGUAACACGGAGGGUGCAAGCGUUACUCGGAAUCACUGGGCGUAAAGAGCGCGUAGGCGGGAUAGCAAGUCAGAUGUGAAAUCCUAUGGUUUAACCAUAGAACUGCAUUUGAAACUGUUAUUCUAGAGUGUGGGAGAGGUAGGUGGAAUGCUUGGUGUAGGGGUAAAAUGCGUAGAGAUCAAGAAGAAUACUCAUUGCGAAGGCGACCUGCUAGAACAUAACUGACGCUGAUGCGCGAAAGCGUGGGGAGCAAACAGGAUUAGAUACCCGGGUAGUC